AUUGGAAGCUGAAUAGCCCAGCAGUGCUGGCAAAUGAAAUAUCUUUUGUUUCAACUUUCAGACUUUCUAGAUUAAAGUGAAGGUUGCUGUCUGGUUUAGAACGGUCAGUUAAUCCACAUUAUUCCACUUUGCACAAU
rnacentral:snoRNA from 1 species